rnacentral:rRNA from 1 species
AACGUGCCCAUGUCGUGGGGGAUAACGUAGCGAAAGCUACGCUAAUACCGCAUACGUCCUGAGGGAGAAAGCGGGGGAUCUUCGGACCUCGCGCGAUUGGAGCGGCCGAUGUCGGAUUAGCUAGUAGGUGAGGUAAAGGCUCACCUAGGCGACGAUCCGUAGCGGGUCUGAGAGGAUGAUCCGCCACACUGGGACUGAGACACGGCCCAGACUCCUACGGGAGGCAGCAGUGGGGAAUUUUGGACAAUGGGGGCAACCCUGAUCCAGCCAUUCCGCGUGAGUGAAGAAGGCCUUCGGGUUGUAAAGCUCUUUCGGCAGGAACGAAACGGCGGGCUCUAACAUAGCCUGUUAAUGACGGUACCUGAAGAAGAAGCACCGGCUAACUACGUGCCAGCAGCCGCGGUAAUACGUAGGGUGCGAGCGUUAAUCGGAAUUACUGGGCGUAAAGCGUGCGCAGGCGGAUUGUUAAGCAAGACGUGAAAUCCCCGGGCUUAACCUGGGAAUGGCGUUUUGAACUGGCAGUCUAGAGUGCGUCAGAGGGGGGUGGAAUUCCACGUGUAGCAGUGAAGACACUGACGCUCAUGUACGAAAGCGUGGGUAGCAAACAGGAUUAGAUACCCUGGUAGUCCACGCCCUAAACGAUGUCAACUGGUUGUUGGGGGAGUGAAAUCCCUUAGUAACGAAGCUAACGCGUGAAGUUGACCGCCUGGGGAGUACGGUCGCAAGAUUAAAACUCAAAGGAAUUGACGGGGACCCGCACAAGCGGUGGAUGAUGUGGAUUAAUUCGAUGCAACGCGAAAAACCUUACCUACCCUUGA